GUUACCAACAUUCUUCAAAAUAUCUUCUUAUGUGUUCAGCAGCAGAAAUAAACUCAUUUAGGUUUGUCUGUAAAAGGUGAAAGAAUUUUAACUUCAGGGUGAACUAUCCAUAAAACUGACAACCGAAUUAUUUACACACUAAUAAUGUCACUUAAUCUGCUGGUAAUUUUGGCCUUGUUGUAUUUGGGAGACAACAGGAACUUGUCAUCUUUUAUGCCGUACAAUAGGAAGAAAGUCAAAAGACUACUUGAUUUAACUUUAUAGCAUUAUGUGUACAAGUUUGGAUGUGUGGCGCGAUCGUGCAGAAUGAGCGAGGAUCGAUGUGACCCUUAAAAGCGUUUAACCUGCUCUAUGCCACUCAACUCAGUUACAGCUGUGGAGGUUUGCAUAGCAACAACCGCGCCGCUCAACGUAAGGGGACAUCUUUAUCUGACCAACCUCUUUCAAAAACGAAAAUAUAUAUUUACUUCUGUUCAUAUAUAUUUUUUGCCAUCAUAUCAAAGACAAGUUACAAUAAACAUUCUGUAAGACGCCUGUUUGUUACUUGUAAAUACGUAACUUCAAUAUUAACUUUUGUUUGCCGUUUUUGAAGUUCGCUGGUGUUGAAAUCUGCACAGCAACAAGCGCCAUGAUUGCGUUUUCUGAGUCCCCUAGUAACUGGCGCGCGCGGUUUCUGUCCAAUAAAAGAGCGCGUGAUGUGUUCGCACUUACGCGGUGGAACUGUUUUACCCAACAUCCCUACUUUUCAUAGGAUUAUUUAAUUAUUGUUUAAAAAAAACGUUAUUUUUGACUGACAUCACCUUCUUGUCCUUUUGGGGUAACUAGUAAGCAGAUGUCAAGGUAAAUGGACCAAGAGAAGGUAAAGUAGACACAGUGUUUCAUCCUGGUCUUCAAGUCGACCUUUUUUUUUAUGUUUUCUGAUUUAGCUUAAUAAUUCGUAUAUAGUCGUUAUCUUGUAAAGGUGAGAGAGCGUUUUGACGUACUACUUUUGUUGACAUGCACAUUUCUAUUCUACGGUGGAUUUUCCUGGAAAAGUACACUAUGCUCAAAAUCUAUUUGUAUACUCUUAACUCUCAGGUCAGUUGUGGUAAUUUGGUCCCUGUUCUGAGAAAAACAUGAUAUAUUCACACCGUACUUACUCAACCUGCCUGCCUCUCUGAUGAAAUCACCAUUACCAGGUAAGUGAUUAAAAAGUUCACUGUAUCCAAACCUUCAUUUAGAGAGAAUUGACAAAAGCGGAUAACUUCAGAAAACCAGCAACUGUGAAAACAUUUGAACCGAGUGCAUUCUGAGUGUAUUUAUGCAAGCUGUCUAAUUUAAUUGUAUUUCUCUAAAAUUAUUUUCAUAUUCAAUAUACGAUUUGUAAGUAGAUUCAUACAUGUAAUUCAAAUCAGUCAAGAUGUGAAUUUUUGAAGAACCAUAUGAGUAAGCUGAAGCUUUCAUGCAGUUGAGUACAAAACUAUCUUUGAAAUGACUCUCAUAGGGGAGUGUAAGAAAUAAUUUACAUGACGCGUGCAAAGUGCAAAAUAACGGUGCUAAUAAUAACUAUUUCAGGCAUGACUAACUUUCAAUAUUUAUCCUGCUCUUAUUCUGAUGUUAGUUGUUUUCGUAAACCCCCAGGUUUCUGCUCGAUUCAGUAAACGCACAUGUGCUAUUGUACCAGGUGAUCCAAUACUAACAAUAAACUUCUGGUGUAACACAAGCAAGAGGACAGUGAAGCAUCUGCUGUCUAUAAGGGCACUUCAUGAGGAUAUAGGACUUUUUUUCCUAUAUACUGCCAGUGUUUUAUGCAUUUCAGAAAAUAAUUCCACUAAACCAUGCUUCUUAUAACCAGUAUUUAAAAUGGUUGAACCAGUGUUGUACUCACAGUUAGUUGACUAUGUCACAGCUCAGUGUCAAACUACAUUCCUUUCCUGGAGAAAACA